rnacentral:rRNA from 1 species
AUUGAACGCUGGCGGCAGGCUUAACACAUGCAAGUCGAGCGGAGAGAGGUAGCUUGCUACUGAUCUUAGCGGCGGACGGGUGAGUAAUGCUUAGGAAUCUGCCUAUUAGUGGGGGACAACAUUUCGAAAGGAAUGCUAAUACCGCAUACGUCCUACGGGAGAAAGCAGGGGAUCUUCGGACCUUGCGCUAAUAGAUGAGCCUAAGUCGGAUUAGCUAGUUGGUGGGGUAAAGGCCUACCAAGGCGACGAUCUGUAGCGGGUCUGAGAGGAUGAUCCGCCACACUGGGACUGAGACACGGCCCAGACUCCUACGGGAGGCAGCAGUGGGGAAUAUUGGACAAUGGGCGCAAGCCUGAUCCAGCCAUGCCGCGUGUGUGAAGAAGGCCUUAUGGUUGUAAAGCACUUUAAGCGAGGAGGAGGCUACUUUAGAUAAUACCUAGAGAUAGUGGACGUUACUCGCAGAAUAAGCACCGGCUAGCUCUGUGCCAGCCGCCGCGGUAAGAC